UACGUAGGGUGCAAGCGUUUGUCCGGAAUUAUUGGGCGUAAAGAGCUCGUAGGCGGUUUGUCGCGUCUGCUGUGAAAACCCGAGGCUCAACCUCGGGCCUGCAGUGGGUACGGGCAGACUAGAGUGCGGUAGGGGAGAUUGGAAUUCCUGGUGUAGCGGUGGAAUGCGCAGAUAUCAGGAGGAACACCGGUGGCGAAGGCGGAUCUCUGGGCCGAUACUGACGCUGAGGAGCGAAAGCGUGGGGAGCGAACAGG
rnacentral:rRNA from 1 species